rfam:Salmo salar isolate Sally breed double haploid chromosome ssa10, whole genome shotgun sequence.
CAAUAGGAUUUUUGUAAGUCGCUCUGGAUAAGAGCGUCUGCUAAAUGACUUAAA